AUCCAGCUGAUGAGUCCGAAAUAGGACGAAACGUGCUUACUGUAU
rfam:Schistosoma rodhaini strain Burundi genome assembly, scaffold: SROB_scaffold0003255